GACGAACGCUGGCGGCGUGCCUAAUACAUGCAAGUUGAGCGAUGAAGAUUGGUGCUUGCCCCAAUUUGAAGAGCAGCGAACGGGUGGGUAACGCGUGGGGAAUCUGCCUUUGAGCGGGGGACAACAUUUGGAAACGAAUGCUAAUACCGCAUAAUAACUUUAAACAUAAGUUUUAAGUUUGAAAGAUGCAAUUGCAUCACUCAAAGAUGAUCCCGCGUUGUAUUAGCUAGUUGGUGGGGUAAAGGCUCACCAAGGCGAUGAUACAUAGCCGACCUGAGAGGGUGAUCGGCCACAUUGGGACUGAGACACGGCCCAAACUCCUACGGGAGGCAGCAGUAGGGAAUCUUCGGCAAUGGACGAAAGUCUGACCGAGCAACGCCGCGUGAGUGAAGAAGGUUUUCGGAUCGUAAAACUCUGUUGGUAGAGAAGAACGUUGGUGAGAGUGGAAAGCUCAUCAAGUGACGGUAACUACCCAGAAAGGGACGGCUAACUACGUG
rnacentral:rRNA from 1 species